GAUGAAGAACGUAGCGAAAUGCGAUAAGUAAUGUGAAUUGCAGAAUUCAGUGAAUCAUCGAAUCUUUGAACGCACAUUGCGCCCGCCAGUAUUCUGGCGGGCAUGCCUGUUCGAGCGUCAUUUCAACCAUCAAGCCCCAGGCUUGUGUUGGGGACCUGCGGCUGCCGCAGGCCCUGAAAACCAGUGGCGGGCUCGCUGUCACACCGGGCGUAGUAGAUUUUAUCUCGCUCAGGGCGUGCUGCGGGUUCCGGCCGUUAAAAAGCCUUUUUUACCCAAGGUUGACCUCGGAUCAGGUAGGAAGACCCGCUGAACUUAAGCAUAUCAAUAAAGCGGAGGA
rnacentral:misc_RNA from 1 species